GUACACUUACAGACAUGUAGGCAAUACACUCAUACACAAAAAAUAAAAAUAAAUAAGAUAUUUUUAAAAAUAGUAUAAGGAGAUACGGCAAUGCUCUUGGUGCAUUAAAUGAAGAUAGCAAGGUGACAGGAGAGCAUGGUUCCAUUUGUCUGGUUGGUUUUUGUUUUCUUCUUGCAGCAGGAUUUUCAUACAUAGCCUAGGCUGGCCUUGAACUGGAGAUCCUUCUGCCUCAGCCUUCUGAAUGCUGGAAUUUUUAAGCAUUUACCAUCACUCUUGGCUUCCAAUGGGUUUAGCAGGGGACUUACAAAUAGGCAGGUGGAUGGAUGGAUGGAUGGAUGGAUGGACAGGGAGAUAGAUACGGCAACUUAGAAAUUAUGGGAAUGGGAGAGAUUUAUUUUUCAUUUUAUUUUCAUGUGACUUUAUUGUGAGCAUGCCCUCUAUUUAUAAUUAAAACAAACUAAUUAAAAUGCCAUAUAGUGAACAUUAAAAUCUUAAAACCAUUUAGUAACAAGCAGAAGUCAAGGUCAAAAAAUGAAUUUCCCCAACAAGGCUGCCGGCACAAAGCUGUAGCAAGGCAGCUUUCCUUCAGAAGAAUGCUUCUGCUUGAAGUCCCAAAGAGGAAAACACCUAUCUAAUCUCAAUACUGUGACUGUCCCUUAGAGCCUGACCUCUGCUCCCGGCUCUGGUGAGAAUUUGCCCUGACUCCUGCCCAGUUACUGGGAUGGAGUGAAGUACCUCUGAGCCUCAGAGGUAGAGAUCCCCACUUCAAAACACAACAAAACAAAAACAGAAAGAAAGAAAUAAGGCAGAAUGAAAGAAAGAAAGAAAGAAAGAAAGAAAGAAAGAAAGAAAGAAAGAAAGAAAGAAAGAAAGAAAGAAAGAAAAGAAAACAAAAACACUGGCUCUUAAAAGCAGGACUAGGACUAGAAUAGGGCAGACUUGUGUGGUCCUGAGAUAAUAGUGGCAACAUCGGUAAGUAACAUUUACAAAGCCAGUAGUUGCUACCUCAAGUGAAGUGAGUUCUAGAGUAGAAAGGAAUAAACCAAGGACAGUCAUGUUCCAGGUGAUUUAUUCUUGCUGUGGGUUCCAGCAAGCUAUUUCCAGCAGCCUCUGCUGAUGUUUAAAUGACAAGAAUGAUGUGGGGCAGGGAACCAUUUUACCAACGGGUACCAAAAAAGAGCUCUUCCUAAUUUCCCACCCAUACCAGGAAAAUUUUGUCUACACCAGACCCAGCCUCCAAUACUUGCAAGAUGGACCAGAAUUGCAUCAGCUAAAUCUGGUCUACUUCACAACAACUGGGUGUUACUGUUUGCCCCACCUGACCCUUGCCCCACCACUUCCCACUGUCCCAAAUCUUCCUUAGUUUUGCCAUUUCCUCCUCCUGAGCUCCGAAAGUUAACUCACUAGUGUGUUCAGUGUGGAAAAGAGAGCAGUUCCCCUCCCCCUCCACUCUGUACAAUCUCAAUAUCAGUGUUCAGGAAAUUCAACUCUGUUUCUACUUCAGGGAAACUCCAGUGCCCUCUGGGAGUACACACUCAGGCCCUCUGGAACAAGGGUGACUUGGAGAAGGUUCAAGAUGCCCCAAGGUAGUGGAGGAUCAAGCCUGGUCAACGUGUUGGCUUUGGGCAGUAACUGUGACCGCCAAAUCCAUCUGUGCUGCAGGCCCAAGGCCUGUUCAUCCGUCCUCUGCAUUCCACUCCCAUGUGUCUGUCGCAGAUCAGUCUUAUGGUGUAAUGCCUAUCACUAACCACCCAGGCAAGAAGGGCUGGUCCAACUCUAUCCUCAGGAAGCCCGGUCCGCAUUUGUCCAGGAGGGAAGACAAGCUUCCUGGCCCCUCUUAGCAUGUCACAAAGGGUCUCUACAAGCUCUGGAGAAGGUCCUAAAGUGGGGUUUCCACUCCAGCGAGGACCUUUACUCAGGCACCUAGAGGGCAAAUUCUUUUUGGCUGUCCCCCAACAGUAUCAGACUCAACUUGACUUUAGAGGCCUGGGACCACGGCUUUGGGUCCAGCCCUCGGCCUGAAGCGCAGGCGCCCCAAUCUCUGCCUGGCUGAGCCCCAACGCGACCGCGUCCCCACACCCCACGCGCGCACAAACGCCGGGGUCGCUGGAACCCUCCGGCCGGCCGCGUUCGAUCCGGGCCGCGACACCAGGGCCAGGGUCCCCGCGGCUCGGCGCGCCGCCGCGUCUUCCUCCCGCCUCCUGCCUCGGUGGCCGCGCUGGGUAGGUAGCUGGGGGACCGGAAGGAUAGCGAGGAAGUUGGAGAGGGUUUCCUGAGAUGAGAGAUUACUUCCGUCCGGGCGCUGGCCUCUCUCUGGAGCCGGCUGUCAGGGGCUCAGGGAGCCGGGUGCGCUGGGCUGGGCCGCGCCUUGCCACCUGCAGCGCCGGGACGGGCCGCGGGGCCCUCGGCGGGACGCGCUCGGCCCUGCUGCAGCGGCUCACCAGGGCCAUCCUUGCAGGUGGGAGUCGAGAGCAUCUCGAAGCGCUCAAGCCAUGGUGGCCAAACAGCGGAUCCGGAUGGCUAACGAAAAGCACAGCAAAAACAUCACCCAGAGGGGGAACGUAGCCAAAACCCUGAGGCCACAAGAAGAGAAAUAUCCUGUCGGGCCAUGGCUUCUGGCACUGUUUGUUUUUGUUGUCUGUGGCUCAGGUUGACCACAUAAACACUGACCUUUCCUGGAAACUGCCAGAACAUUCUGGAAACUGACCUCCAGAGGGAGUCACCCCAGAGACCGGCAAGUUGGGUGCGUGAGGAACUGGACAGCGCCGCAGGACCAAGAUCAACAGUCUGGAGGAGACAUCUCAUCAACCAUCAUCUCUCAAGCUAUCUUCCAGAUCAUACAGAGCAUAAGGAUGGGCAUGUAAGAAGACCUGGGCAGUGGAUGCUGCUGCCCUCUCGCUGGCAGGUGGAGGACCACGGAGGCCUUCAGUGGGUCUGUGGGAAGCAAACAAGCCAAGUGCAAUAGAAAGGAGAUCCCCUUUGCUCCCUCCCACUCCAUGGUGGAGGCCAAACCAAAUUGUCUUCUCACAGGGCGUCUCCGUGCAUCUGUGUCCUCCAGCAGAAAGGACUCUGCUCUUCUGUUGACGGAUUCGAAGCCACGUAGGGGGUCUUCAGCAGUGCCCUCUGUCUUCCUCCCUCGAGUUUCACUGUGGUGUGCAUGUGGCCCUCUGAGUGACUGCCCAUUUACAUCCUCCCAAUACAAUCUCUUCUCUGUCAGGAAUUGGUUUUACAAAUAAAUGUCUUCAUUCAACCUUA